rnacentral:RNase_P_RNA from 1 species
GAGGCGGGACGAUCUGCCGCGCAGAAUAUCUGUGAGGAAAGUCCGGACAGGAAAGGGCACUUCACUGCGGAAAGCGCAGAUAGGGGUAACCUUAUGGAUGACGUAACAGAAAAGAACCGCAUACUCCGUAUGCAAGGGUGAAAACGUGAGGCAAGAGCUCACGACGGGUAUUGGCGACAAUGCCCGGGUACGUCCCUGAAGCCUGCAAGACCAAAUAUACUGGCAACCAAGGGCUGCCCGUCCGAUGCCAGGGGGUAGGUUGCGUAGAUAAAUGGCAGAUUUAAAAACAGAAACCGGCUUACUGUCCCGCCUGCAGA